rnacentral:rRNA from 1 species
AGAGUUUGAUCCUGGCUCAGAACGAACGCUGGCGGCACGCCUAACACAUGCAAGUCGAACGAUAAGCUACCUUCGGGUAGUGGACAGUGGCGGACGGGUGAGUAACACGUGGGAACCUGCCUUUUGGUACGGAAUAACGUUCGGAAACGGAUGCUAAUACCGUAUAAGCCCUUCGGGGGAAAGAUUUAUCGCCAAUAGAUGGGCCCGCGCUAGAUUAGAUAGUUGGUGGGGUAAUGGCCUACCAAGUCUACGAUCUAUAGCUGGUUUGAGAGGAUGAUCAGCCACACUGGGACUGAGACACGGCCCAGACUCCUACGGGAGGCAGCAGUGGGGAAUAUUGCACAAUGGGCGAAAGCCUGAUGCAGCGAUGCCGCGUGAGUGAAGAAGGCCUUAGGGUUGUAAAACUCUUUCAGAUGCGAAGAUAAUGACGGUAACAUCAGAAGAAGCUCCGCUAAC